AAAAAAAAAAAGUUAGCCGGCUUCUUUUAGUUUCACCAAAAGAGAUCAAUGCGGACAGCGACAUCAAAGUAUGGAAGUCCACCAUUGCCAAUCAUGAACAGCAGCAAGCCAUUGGAUUUGGAUAAAUUUUGAGAAACGACACCGGCAAUGAGGGAAUUCAUCCAUGGUGAGUAAUAUAUGGCGACGAGGGAAUACAGGUUAGGAAAGACGAAAGAAAACUCUUCCAUCCAUCCGCCUCCCACGACGGCAACGGCGAUGUAGAUGCAGGUGCGUGAAUGAACUACAUAAAUAUGCAGGAACUACUAUUGUUAAGCUCCUCAAAUAUCCUUCUCCUACUAAACAAGCGCAUGUCGUUAUGCUCUGAAUUACACUACCAAAAAGAGGUGUAUUAAAAGAUAGAACACAGACAUAGUAAAAUCAAUCCCAAAUUCUAUCUGAACUUACGGUGAUAGAGAUUGUGAUGAGAGUGCAUAGGUAAUGAAGACAUGACAACCACAAUUUUCAUAGGUUGAGUGGAGACCUUAGGAAGAAACUUCUGUUGAAUUGCAAUAUCGUAUUGAUGUUUGGGUUUUUUUUCUUUUAAUAUAUGCACCUUUUGAUUGAUCCAAUGGCUAAGAAUUGGUGAAGGAGAGGAUGCGGUUCCCUUGUCAAAAAAAAAAAAAA